AUUAGAGCAGAGAGGAGUUAUUAGAUCCAACUGCAUUGACUGCCUAGAUCGAACAAAUGUUACUCAGAGCUACCUGGCUCGGAAAUCUUUGGAUUCUCAACUCCAAAGACUUGGUGCACUUUCUUCAAAUGAGUGCAUUUCUAUGUUCACUGAAGAUUUUGAAAUCUUUAAGACUAUGUGGGUGGAGCAAGGUGAUGAAAUAAGCCUGGAAUAUUCUGGAACACAUGCUCUAAAACGGGACCUUGUCAGGUAAUGGACGAAUUAUUUUGGGUUUAAAAAAAUCAACGCAAAAGCAUCAGUUUUCUACUUUA
rnacentral:misc_RNA from 1 species